UGUGAACUGCAGGACACAUGAACACCGACACGUUGAACGCAUAUUGCACAUCGUACCUCCAGUACGAUGUACACAUUUUUGAGUGCCUAUAUUUAUACAUUCAACUAUACGUGUGCCUCCCUCUCGGGGGUGUGCGCGCACGUAUGCAUAGUGAUGUUUUCCCGCCUUCGGUGCGCGGUAAAACAUUCAAGAUAGUCAGACGCGACGGUGGCCGGCGUGCCAGUCGUCGUCGUGGUUGAUGAGUACAUCCCAAACCGGAGUCUCAGUGGCAGUGAGCCUAGUACCCCCGUGUGUGAGUUGUGCGGUGCGGUGUCGUGGAAUUAGGCGC
rnacentral:sRNA from 1 species